AGCACACACACAGGCGCGCACACAGACACGCACACACGCACGCGCACUUACCGCACGUCAAGACAAAGGCAGCAACACACUCGCCGAGGGGUCCAAAUGAAGGCCAAAGUCCCCACACAAAGAACGAGGCGGGAAGCGUUUGAAGUAGUAAGCAGGUUUUUUUUUUUUAUGAUAAAAAAACAUUGUUGGCUUCAAUGAAAUGUGUUAAGGGCAAAGCAUCUAUUUCUUCCAUCUCCCUGAACUAAUUGUUUCAAAAUUCAUUGACUGUGUUCCAAUGAACUAAGCCGAAACUGUCGCGAUUGCUCUAUGAUUUGCUCCCCAGACAUUGGUUCUUAGACAGGUGAGGGGCGUGGCGAGCUGAGCGGGGCACCGCAACGUGGGACACCUGGACUUCAUCAACUAAUCACACGCCUUCUUAAGCCUGGCGGGGACUUCUCGUCGGCGCCAGAUUAUUCCGUCUCAUUCGGUAUUUUGGCUGACGUGUAUACAUUGAUUCCCUAACCUAAUCCUUUGAUUCCUAACGUCGUGUUAUCCUUUCAUUCGUUCCUCGCCAGUGGAUGAUCCCCGGACUGCAACACUCUCCGGUGCCUCCGCCAGCUACGCCCACCCGCUCCUGUCUUCGCCUUGCACGCUGGUUAUCUCUUGAGUUAUUCUUUACUGACAAUAAACCGUGGAUUGUUCGUACUGA